rnacentral:rRNA from 1 species
CCUACGGGAGGCAGCAGUGGGGAAUAUUGCGCAAUGGGCGAAAGCCUGACGCAGCGACGCCGCGUGAGGGAUGAAGGUCUUCGGAUCGUAAACCUCUGUCAGCAGGGAAGAACGGUCACUGUGCUAAUCAGCAGUGAAUUGACGGUACCUGCAAAGGAAGCACCGGCUAACUCCGUGCCAGCAGCCGCGGUAAUACGGAGGGGGCGAGCGUUAAUCGGAAUUACUGGGCGUAAAGCGCUCGUAGGCGGUAUGUCAAGUCAAGGGUGAAAUCCCCGCGCUCAACGUGGGAACUGCCUUGGAAACUGGCAAACUGGAGUGUGUGAGAGGAUAGUGGAAUUCCAGGUGUAGGAGUGAAAUCCGUAGAUAUCUGGAGGAACAUCAGUGGCGAAGGCGACUAUCUGGAACAUAACUGACGCUGAGGAGCGAAAGCGUGGGUAGCAAACAGGAUUAGAUACCCCUGUAGUC